UACGAAGGGGGCUAGCGUUGCUCGGAAUCACUGGGCGUAAAGCGCACGUAGGUGGAUUGUUAAGUCAGGGGUGAAAUCCUGGAGCUCAACUCCAGAACUGCCUUUGAUACUGGCGAUCUCGAGUCCGGGAGAGGUGAGUGGAACUGCGAGUGUAGAGGUGAAAUUCGUAGAUAUUCGCAAGAACACCAGUGGCGAAGGCGGCCCACUGGCCCGGUACUGACGCUGAGGUGCGAAAGCGUGGGGAGCAAACAGG
rnacentral:rRNA from 1 species